AGGAGAUGAGGUCGUGGGGGAGGAAGGAGAAGAGGGCAUGAAAUUCAUGGGGGAGGAAGAAGAGGAGGCCAUGGAGGUCGUGGGAGAGAGGGCAGGAGGCCACGGGGGAGGAAGAAGAUGCCCCCUUGUUUCUGAAGUUGGUCUUCGCCUCAAAUGCGAUGGUUGCUCCCAAUUGUGAUUGGACAUUCCUGUUCAUUGGUUGCUACUCAUAUGAGAUUUUUUUUCAUUUUCCCUGCAGAUUGGUCCGAUUUGAGCGGAUUCUCUUCCUCUUGGUCGGUCCCCUGGAUGUGCCUCCCUUGAUCUCUGCCUGCACAUUCUUUAUAAGCACCCUCCUGCGUCUCCGUUCAUGGAUCGACAGGUGCAUGGGCACUUGCCGCUGCAGCCAGAGUUGCCACCAAAUCAGAUUAGAAGUUUUUCAAACAGAUUCCUAUAUUUUGAAGUGGUUAUGCUCAUCACAUAGCUGGGGUAGAUCAUGUCUUACUAUAUAAUGUAUUUCAUCGUGUCUCAAGCUUCUGUGCUUAAUGGUACUGGAGAUAUAUAAACAGGACAAAGUAUACAAGUUAGUAAUGGGCACUUCAGAUGUGAUGCCAUGUGAGGAAGCCUUGGUAUGAUACAAUAAGAGAUGGUAAUUUGAGGGAGGUCAGAAUCCAAAUUUGUAGCUACCUACCCAGGUUACUAAAUUCAGUAUACUAUAAAAAUUAUGUGCUGCUGUAGUAUUUAUCUACAAUCGAGUAUGGUUGUCGGUCUGUUUUUCAGAUUACUGCUAGCUUCAGUUGUAUUUCCUGGAUGUUCCCAAAAACAUAUGUGGAGAACUCUCUUCCAGGCGAUUGGAUGUCACUUAACUAUGCUUUCUGCUAUUUUUUACAGUAUUGCUAAUGCCAAACUGUUGUCAUUACUUACUGGUGAAAUUUAAAAGCUAUAUAUUUGCAUGUAUAUGCGGGUAUUUAAUUUAACAUGAUCUGAAUAUUCUGAAUCUGCAGUUCCACACUAUGCUUUGCUGGACUACCCAUUUAUGUUUCCCUUAGCGACAGUUCUUCAAGUCCAGCUACAGAUAGAUUAAUUUUGAGCAUGCUAUACUAAUUUGUUGUGGUGUGGAUGGAUAUUGAAAAAUUGAAUGAUCGAUGCUAUAACGCAACCCGUUUCGGAGUGCCAGACACUCAUCAUUGCGGUAUCCAUCCUGUUUGCCCACCUCUUUGGCGGCUUUCUGCUUCUAGAAAAUUGUACCUUACCAGGUACUCUCAAAGAUCCUUUCCUAUACACCUACGAAGGACAUUUCCCAUCUCAAAUAACAUGGUUAGUGUCUAAACGCUUUGACAAAUGACAACUCUUUUUUUGCGGGAACAAAACUCUUGUAGCUACUUGACGUCAUUACAGUCGUGCAAACUGCUUGAGGAUUUACCGUCGAUUUUGUGCUGCUGCAAAGGGGCCAAUGGGUUUAGAACAUACUUCUCCAAACAUUUGAACUUAUCAUAAUAAAUUUGUGAUCCAUCUCACUUUGGACCUACAUGUAUGCAAUCAACUUCUCUCCUUAUCGGUUACGAUUUGUGACGACCCAGGUUAAGAAAAAUCACCUAUGAAUGUAGUUACCUAUGUAUAUACUGUUUAGAUCCUAUCGACAUUCAAGUUGGCUGUCUAUUCCAAUUGCCCACCGCUUCUGCGGGCAACGCGCAGCAGGCCGUGCUUUCGUUCGUAUUUUGAAUUUCAUGGAUUUCUACUUCCUGUUUACUGUGGAACUCUAGAUGUUAUGUCAAGAAAAUGUCAUUAUAUGCCAUCUAUAUCGUUUGUUGUUCAGGUCCAAAAUUCUUGUUGUAUCGGAAUUUGUAGUUUACUUGUUUCUAAUUUAAUACCAUCAACAAUAGGUUGAUUCCUAUUUCACAUGAGAACAUGUCUUCUCUGCCUUUUCCCUAUUAAAAUUACAUGGCAUCACAUCACUCAUAAAGCAAUAUGUUUUCCUAGGUAUUCCAAACUUAGUCCGAUCACAUGGGCGAUGGCUGAUUGAUGGCCUCUGCUUGGUACUACACGAUAAGUUGGAACUACUGAUGCUCCAAUUGCAGCCAGCCUUUUCUUAAUCCUCAUGUAAAAAGAUGGCCACGUCAGCGGCGCUAUGCGGCAACCAUAUCCGCAAGAACCGCACCCGUCGCAGGUAGGAACGCGCUACUGCACCUCGAGUCACACUAAACGGGGGUGCAACCCAUCAUGUAUAGCUUCAACUCUAUUCUCAUGGACACUUCUAUCAUAACAUUCAGAUACACUUUUCAGGCAUUACAAGGUCAUAUUUGCUCUUUGUAGUUCGAUCAUUAGUUUCAUUUAGUCUAUGAUUUAUCUCAUUGGCUUUUGGAUUAGUCCAGAGUAUACUCCUCCUUCCCUAAAUAUAAGUCUUUUUAGAUAUUUUAAUAAGGACUACACAUGGAUGUAUAUAGACAUAUUGUCAAAUGUAGAUUCACUCAUUUUGCUGCGUAUGUAGUCCCCAUUUGGAAUCUCAGAAAAGACUUAUAUUUCGGAAUGGAGGGAGUAUUAUUUUAGUUUGGUCAUUGAUUAAGAUUUUCGCUUCAGUAUUAAUUACAUGAAUGGCUAGCUCUCUGCAUCGUGUGUCGUACUCUUGCAGUUUCAAAAUCUUUGACUCAUGGCUCCCGGCCAAAGGGGAUCAGAUGAGUUGUACAUGUCUAAUAUUUCAGAAGAAGUCUUGCCAUCAAUUAAGUGCUUCUCUUUGUCUUCAUAGUAUUUUCAGGUAGAGUACACAGAGGGCAGAAGUACAUUGACGGAAAUGAUGACACCCUUCCACUGAAGUUGACGGAAAUGAUGACACCCUUCCACUGAAGCUCGCAGACGGCACCGUGAACUGCGACAAUCGCUUCAUGUUUGAAACCGGCAAGAGGGCCACCAUCACGACGGAUUGAUCAUGGUUUCGUCACCAUGCUAACAUCCAGGAGGGCGACAUCUGCGCCUUCCAUUUCAAGCGCAAGGAAAGGCAUAAGGUCAUCACAUCGUCUCUCCCUCACCGUCCAUCGCAUCGUCUCUAGGCAUAAGGUCAUCAGCAGGAUUCGUCUUUAGCUUAUCUCAAUGCUGUGCUCUAUCAUUCACCUUGUAAGACUCUGCCCUAUCUUAUAAUAUGCACCUACUACCUCUUAUAUGUAUGAUGAUCGAACACUUUUCUCCUAAGCUUGUGUUAAUUGUAUUCAUAUUUUAACAAUUGAGGCA